rnacentral:rRNA from 1 species
GUCUUUUUGAAAUAAAUUUAAAGUCUAACCUGCCCACUGAAAAUUUAAAUGGCCGCAGUAUUCUAACUGUGCAAAGGUAGCAUAAUCAUUAGUCUUUUAAUUGAAGGCUGGAAUGAAUGGUUGGACGAAAUAUUAACUGUUUCAUUUGAAUUUUUGAUAGAAUUUUAUUUUUUAGUCAAAAAGCUAAAAUUUGUUUAAAAGACGAGAAGACCCUAUAAAUCUUUAUAUUUUAUUUAUUUUAAUUAUAUAGAUUAUUUUUGUUAUAAUAAUUUAAAAUAUUUUAUUGGGGUGAUAUUAAAAUUUAAAAAACUUUUAAUUUAAAAAAUCAUUAAUAUAUGAAUAAUUGAUCCAUUAGUAAUGAUUAAAAAUUUAAGUUACUUUAGGGAUAACAGCGUAAUUUUUUUGGAGAGUUCAUAUCGAUAAAAAAGAUUGCGACCUCGAUGUUGGAUUAAGAUAUAAUUUUGGGUGUAGCUGUUCAAAUUUUAAGUCUGUUCGACUUUUAAAUUCUU